GACGAACGCUGGCGGCGUGCUUAACACAUGCCAGUCGAACGGAAAGGCCCUGCUUUUGUGGGGUGCUCGAGUGGCGAACGGGUGAGUAACACGUGAGUAACCUGCCCUUGACUUUGGGAUAACUUCAGGAAACUGGGGCUAAUACCGGAUAGGAGCUCCUGCUGCAUGGUGGGGGUUGGAAAGUGUCGGCGGUUGGGGAUGGACUCGCGGCUUAUCAGCUUGUUGGUGGGGUAGUGGCUUACCAAGGCUUUGACGGGUAGCCGGCCUGAGAGGGUGACCGGCCACAUUGGGACUGAGAUACGGCCCAGACUCCUACGGGAAGCAGCAGUGGGGAAUAUUGCACAAUGGGCGGAAGCCUGAUGCAGCAACGCCGCGUGCGGGAUGACGGCCUUCGGGUUGUAAACCGCUUUCGCCUGUGACGAAGCGUGAGUGACGGUAAUGGGUAAAGAAGCACCGGCUAACUACGUG
rnacentral:rRNA from 1 species